rnacentral:rRNA from 1 species
ACUCCUACGGGAGGCAGCAGUAGGGAAUCUUCCGCAAUGGACGAAAGUCUGACGGAGCAACGCCGCGUGAGUGAUGAAGGUUUUCGGAUCGUAAAGCUCUGUUGUUAGGGAAGAACAAGUGCCGUUCAAAUAGGGCGGCACCUUGACGGUACCUAACCAGAAAGCCACGGCUAACUACGUGCCAGCAGCCGCGGUAAUACA